AUCAACCACCAAAUGCUGAUAAGUGAACUUGCCCAUCGUGCUUUGAAUCUAGUGAAUGGAUACGUUUUCAAAGGCAAACCAAUAAUCAUCCAGUUUGGGUGGAAUCCUGCUUCUUCAAAAGCAAAUUAAUCGAACAUUUCCGCAUGAUUCAUGAACAGGAGGAAGCUCUUUAUGCUGCCCUGUCAUCGUUGGUUCUAUAUUAACUAUUCAUUCUCAUAUUCCUAAUAAAGCUGGACUUCAAAUCCAUCAAACUUUGGUUUUUUUAAGUUUCUUAGUGAUUGGUGCUCCUUCAUUGACUCAAUUAAUACAUGAAAAAUUUUCUGUU